UUUCGAAUUAUUCACAAUGGGCGCAAGCCUGAUGGUGCGACGCCGCGUGGGGGAUGAAGGUCUUCGGAUUGUAAACCCCUGUCACCGGGGAAGAAACGCUGAACGGUAAUAUCGUUCAGCCUGACUUAACCCGGAGAGGAAGCAGUGGCUAACUCUGUGCCAGCAGCCGCGGUAAUACAGAGACUGCGAGCGUUAUUCGGAUUCACUGGGCGUAAAGGGUGCGCAGGCGGGCGUGUGUGUUAGGCGUGAAAGCCCGAGGCUCAACCUCGGAA
rnacentral:rRNA from 1 species